UUGCUCUUCAACGAGGAAUGCCUAGUAAGCGCGUGUCAUCAGCAUGCGUUGAUUACGUCCCUGACCUUUGUACACACCGCCCGUCGCUACUACCGAUUGAAUGGCUCAGUGAGGCCUUCGGACUGGCUCGAGGAGGUUGGCAACGACCACCUCAAGCCGGAAAGUUCGUCAAACUCGGUCACUUAGAGGAAGUAAAAGUCGUAACAAGGUCUCCGUAGGUGAACCUGCGGAGGGGUCAUUACACAAAUAUGAAGGCGGGCUGGAACCUCUCGGGGUUACAGCCUUGCUGAAUUAUUCACCCUUGUCUUUUGCGCACUUCUUGUUUCCUUGGUGGGUUCGCCCACCACUAGGACAAACAUAAACCUUUUGUAAUUGCAAUCAGCGUCAGUAACAAAUUAAUAAUUACAACUUUCAACAACGGAUCUCUUGGUUCUGGCAUCGAUGAAGAACGCAGCGAAAUGCGAUAAGUAGUGUGAAUUGCAGAAUUCAGUGAAUCAUCGAAUCUUUGAACGCACAUUGCGCCCCUCGGUAUUCCGUGGGGCAUGCCUGUUCGAGCGUCAUCUACACCCUCAAGCUCUGCUUGGUGUUGGGCGUCUGUCCCGCCUCCGCGCGUGGACUCGCCCCAAAUUCAUUGGCAGCGGUCCUUGCCUCCUCUCGCGCAGCACAUUGCGCUUCUCGAGGGGCUACGGCUCGCGUCCAACAAGCACAUUUACCGUCUUUGACCUCGGAUCAGGUAGGGAUACCCGCUGAACUUAAGCAUAUCAAUAAGCGGAGGA
rnacentral:rRNA from 1 species